CCUACGGGAGGCUGCAGUGAGGAAUAUUGGUCAAUGGGCGCGAGCCUGAACCAGCCAAGUAGCGUGAAGGAUGACUGCCCUACGGGUUGUAAACUUCUUUUAUAAAGGAAUAAAGUGCGGCACGUGUGCCUUUUUGCGUGUACUUUAUGAAUAAGGAUCGGCUAACUCCGUGCCAGCAGCCGCGGUAAUACGGCGGAUCCGAGCGUUAUCCGGAUUUAUUGGGUUUAAAGGGUGCGUAGAUGGGUUGUUAAGUCAGUUGUGAAAGUUUGCGGCUCAACCGUAAAAUUGCAAUUGAUACUGGCAGUCUUGAGUACAGUUGAGGUAGGCGGAAUUCGUGGUGUAGCGGUGAAAUGCUUAGAUAUCACGAAGAACUCCGAUUGCGAAGGCAGCUUACUAAACUGAGACUGACAUUAAUGCUCGAAAGUGUGGGUAUCAAACAGGAUUAGAUACCCCUGUAGUC
rnacentral:rRNA from 1 species